CUUGCAUGUUUGUGGAGUGAUAUAACUCAUAUUAAUCUAUCUUGUCAAAUUUUUUCAUAUUUUUUUGAUGAGUAUUUACAUAGCAUGCAAACGUACGGUGUGCUAAAAUCUGUUUCUCCCACACGACGACGACCACGACCACCAGUUUUUUUUUUCUUUUUUUGGUUCUAAACUGAUCCGAGAACUCUUUAUUUGGCUGUUUUUUAUGCAUGUUCGUUUGAGAAGACUCCC
rnacentral:lncRNA from 1 species